rnacentral:rRNA from 1 species
UGAGGAAUAUUGGUUAAUGUGCGAAAGCGCGAACCAGCAACGCCGCGUGUGCGAUGAAGGCCUUCGGGUCGUAAAGCACUUUUUGCAGGGACGAGGAAGGACGGUACCUGCAGAAUAAGUCUCGGCUAACUACGUGCCAGCAGCCGCGGUAAAACGUAGGAGACGAGCGUUAUCCGGAUUUACUGGGCGUAAAGCGCGUGCAGGCGGCAUGGCAAGUUGGAUGUGAAAACUCCCGGCUUAACUGGGAGAGGUCGUUCAAUACUGCCAGGCUUGAGAGUGGUAGAGGGAAGCGGAAUUCCGGGUGUAGUGGUGAAAUGCGUAGAUAUCCGGAGGAACACCAGUGGCGAAAGCGGCUUCCUGGCCCAUUUCUGACGCUCAGACGCGAAAGCUAGGGUAGCAAACGU